rnacentral:rRNA from 1 species
AACGAACGCUGGCGGCAGGCUUAACCAUGCAAGUCGAACGCUCGUAGCAAUACGGGAGUGGCGGACGGGUGAGUAACGCGUGGGAACGUGCCCUGAGGUACGGAAUAACUGCGGGAAACUGCAGCUAAUACCGUAUGAGCCCCGUGAGGGGGAAAGAUUUAUCGCCUUAGGAGCGGCCCGCGUCGGAUUAGCUAGUUGGUGGGGUAACGGCUUACCAAGGCUUCGAUCCGUAGCUGGUCUGAGAGGACGAUCAGCCACACUGGGACUGAGACACGGCCCAGACUCCUACGGGAGGCAGCAGUGGGGAAUCUUGCGCAAUGGGGGCAACCCUGACGCAGCCAUGCCGCGUGAAUGAUGAAGGCCUUAGGGUUGUAAAGUUCUUUUGCCCGUGACGAUGAUGACGGUAACGGGAGAAUAAGCUCCGGCUAACUUCGUG